AUUGAACGCUGGCGGCAGGCCUAACACAUGCAAGUCGAGCGGAGCGGCGGACGGGUGAGUAAUGCCUAGGAAUCUGCCUGGUAGUGGGGGAUAACGUCCGGAAACGGGCGCUAAUACCGCAUACUAUCAGAUGAGCUUGGGGCGGAUUGGCUAGUGGUUGGGGUAAGGGCCUACCAAGGCGCCGAUCCGUAACUGGCCGGGGGGGAUGAUCAGUCACACGGGAAUUGAGACACGGUCCAGACCCCUACGGGGGGCAGCAGUGGGGAAUAUUGGACAAGGGGCGAAAGCCUGAUCAGCCAUGCCGCGUGUGUGAAGAAGGUCUUCGGAUUGUAAAGCACUUUAAGUUGGGAGGCGUUACCAACAGAAUAAGCACCGGCUAACUUCGUGCCAGCAGCCGCGGUAAUUC
rnacentral:rRNA from 1 species